CUACGGGAGGCUCCAGUGAGGAAUAUUGCACAAUGGGCGCAAGCCUGAUGCAGCAACGCCGCGUGAGGGAUGAAGGCCUUCGGGUUGUAAACCUCUUUUAGCAGGGAAGAAGCGAAAGUGACGGUACCUGCAGAAAAAGCACCGGCUAACUACGUGCCAGCAGCCGCGGUAAUACGUAGGGUGCAAGCGUUGUCCGGAAUUAUUGGGCGUAAAGAGCUCGUAGGCGGUUUGUCACGUCUGCUGUGAAAAUCCAAGGCUCAACCUUGGACUUGCAGUGGGUACGGGCAGGCUAGAGUGCGGUAGGGGAGAUGGGAAUUCCUGGUGUAGCGGUGGAAUGCGCAGAUAUCAGGAGGAACACCAAUGGCGAAGGCACAUCUCUGGGCCGUAACUGACGCUGAGGAGCGAAAGCGUGGGGAGCGAACAGGAUUAGAUACCCUAGUAGUC
rnacentral:rRNA from 1 species